rnacentral:rRNA from 1 species
UACAGAGGGUGCGAGCGUUGUUCGGAAUUAUUGGGCGUAAAGGGCGCGUAGGCGGUGCGGUAAGUCACCUGUGAAAUCUCCUGGCUCAACUGGGAGCUUGCAGGCGAAACUGCCGUGCUGGAGUGUGGGAGAGGUGAGUGGAAUUCCCGGUGUAGCGGUGAAAUGCGUAGAGAUGUGGAGGAAUACCGAUGGCGAAGGCAGCCUCCUGGGCCAACACUGACGCUCAUGCACGAAAGCGUGGGGAGCAAACAGG